rnacentral:rRNA from 1 species
GACGAACGCUGGCGGCGUGCUUAACACAUGCAAGUCGAACGGAAAGGCCCUGCUUUUGUGGGGUGCUCGAGUGGCGAACGGGUGAGUAACACGUGAGUAACCUGCCCUUGACUUUGGGAUAACUUCAGGAAACUGGGGCUAAUACCGGAUAGGAGCUCCUGCUGCAUGGUGGGGGUUGGAAAGUUUCGGCGGUUGGGGAUGGACUCGCGGCUUAUCAGCUUGUUGGUGGGGUAGUGACUUACCAAGGCUUUGACGGGUAGCCGGCCUGAGAGGGUGACCGGCCACAUUGGGACUGAGAUACGGCCCAGACUCCUACGGGAGGCAGCAGUGGGGAAUAUUGCACAAUGGGCGGAAGCCUGAUGCAGCAACGCCGCGUGCGGGAUGACGGCCUUCGGGUUGUAAACCGCUUUCGCCUGUGUCGAAGCGUGAGUGACGGUAAUGGGUAAAGAAGCACCGGCUAACUACGUG